rnacentral:rRNA from 1 species
GCCUAUACUGCAAGUCGAACGCUUCUUUUUCCCCGGNACUUGCUCCACCGGNAAAAANAUGAGUGGCGAACGGGUGAGUAACACGUGGGUAACCUGCCCAUCAGAAGGGGAUAACACUUGGNAAACAGGUGCUAAUACCGUAUAACAAUCGAAACCGCAUGGUUUUGAUUUGAAAGGCGCUUUCGGGUGUCGCUGAUGGAUGGACCCGCGGUGCAUUAGCUAGUUGGUGAGGUAACGGCUCACCAAGGCGACGAUGCAUAGCCGACCUGAGAGGGUGAUCGGCCCAUUGGGACUGAGACACGGCCCAAACUCCUACGGGAGGCAGCAGUAGGGAAUCUUCGGCAAUGGACGAAAGUCUGACCGAGCAACGCCGCGUGAGUGAAGAAGGUUUUCGGAUCGUAAAACUCUGUUGUUAGAGAAGAACAAGGAUGAGAGUAACUGUUCAUCCCUUGACGGUAUCUAACCAGAAAGCCACGGCUAACUACGUGCCACAGCCGCGGUAAUACGUANGUGGCAAGCGUUGUCCGGAUUUAUUGGGCGUAAAGCGAGCGCAGGCGGUUUCUUAAGUCUGAUGUGAAAGCCCCCGGCUCAACCGGGGAGGGUCAUUGGAAACUGGGAGACUUGAGUGCAGAAGAGGAGAGUGGAAUUCCAUAGUGUAGCGGUGAAAUGCGUAGAUAUAUGGAGGAACACCAGUGGCGAAGGCUGGCUCUCUGGUCUGUAACUGACGCUGAGGCUCGAAAGCGUGGGGAGCAAACAGGAUUAGAUACCCUGGUAGUCCACGCCGUAAACGAUGAGUGCUAAGUGUUGNAGGGUUUCCGCCCUUCAGUGCUGCAGCUAACGCAUUAAGCACUCCGCCUGGGGAGUACGACCGCAAGGUUGAAACUCAAAGGAAUUGACGGGGGCCCGCACAAGCGGUGGAGCAUGUGGUUUAAUUCGAAGCAACGCGAAGAACCUUACCAGGUCUUGACAUCCUUUGACCACUCUAGAGAUAGAGCUUCCCCUUCGGGGGCAAAGUGACAGGUGGUGCAUGGUUGUCGUCAGCUCGUGUCGUGAGAUGUUGGGUUAAGUCCCGCAACGAGCGCAACCCUUAUUGUUAGUUGCCAUCAUUUAGUUGGGCACUCUAGCAAGACUGCCGGUGACAAACCGGAGGAAGGUGGGGAUGACGUCAAAUCAUCAUGCCCCUUAUGACCUGGGCUACACACGUGCUACAAUGGGAAGUACACGAGUCGCAAAGU